rnacentral:lncRNA from 1 species
UUCUCAACCUCCACUCUAUGUAACAACACCUCCAAAACCCAGUUCUCCUAUUUCUCAACCUCCACUCUAUGUAACAACACCUCCAAAACCCAGUUCUCCAAAUUCUCAACCUCCACUCUAUGUAACAACACCUCCAAAACCCAGUUCUCCUAUUUCUCAACCUCCAUAUAUAUCAACUCCUCCAACAACCCCUUCUCCUAGUACUUCUCAACCUCCAUAUAUAUCAACACCUCCACAAACUAGUUACCCCAUUUCACAACCUCCAAAAGCUCUUUCCCCAACUUCUGAAACUCCAAACACCCCUUCUCCCAUUUCACAACCUCCAUAUAUUUCACAACCUCCAAAAGCUCUUUCCCCCACUUUUGAAACUCCAAACACCCCUUCUCCUAUUUCUCAACCUCCCUAUACACUAACACCUUCAAACAGCCCUUCUCCAUUUUCUCAAACACCUUACAUACCAACUCCACCAGAGUCCAAUUCCCCUAUUUCUCAACCUCCACAAAAACCAAGAAGUGGAAGCUUUCCACCAUUUUACUCACCAACAACACUUCCAUCUCCAUCUCCAUCACCAUCACCAUCAUAUUCAUACCCCAAUUCACCACUUACAUCACCAACACUAUCACCAUACCCAUCACCAUAUGAUAACUCUGAACCUUCACUUUCUCCAUCUGAAUUGCCUCCUCUAGCAUCAACACCAUCAAGUUAUGUAGCAGAAACUCCAUCAUUGAGUCCCGGAGGUUCCACAACGACACCGUCAUCGUCGAAUGAAACGGGGCCCACACCGGCGUCUGCAUGGGCUGCAACACCGAGAGGGUUAUGGGUGUAUUCAAUUUUAGUUGGUGCAACUCUCACUACUAUUCUAGGGUAGAAAAUAAAUGUCACAUUAUUGUGUUAUAUUAUUACUCAGAAUAAUAGGUAAAAAUAUUUUAUUCUGUAUGUAUAAACUUUGGAUAAAGUUGGUGAACAUUUUUAUUCUUCAUUAUGACAUAAGAGAUUUCAUCUCAUAGUUUAUUCAAUUACUUUGUGUACCAAUCUUGUAUCACUUUUUGUUAUCUCAUAG